UAAUUCAAAUUAUUCCAAAAUAUUUGUCUAAAAAGUUUUAAAUAAUAAAUAACUGUGUAUAUUUUAUACGAUUAAUAUUAGAUAAAUUAAUGGAUUAAUUUCAUAAAGAUUCCUACAAACAUAAUGAAUGACAAAUAUAUUCUUACAAAGUUAAACUUUUAUAUAUUUUUUCUACAAAAAUUUUAAUAUUUUCAAAUAUAUCUCUAUGAUUUGUUACGAUUAGAGAACCGUUAAAAAACUAUUCAUAUUUUCAAUUUUGCCAUCACAAAUAUGUUCAUCCAAAAGUCAUAACAGUAUGAUAUAAGAAGAAUAAAAAUGUUAAAAAUUAACUAGUCUUAAGCAUUUAACUUAUUGUUAACUAAACUAUUUUAACAGAUUUUAACGGCAGGAAUAUAUUUAAAAAUAUCAAGAUUUUUGUAAGAACAACAUAUGAAAAUUGAACUUUAUAGGGGCAUAUUUGCUAUUUACUAUGUUUGUAGGGACUUGUAUAAAAUUAACCCUAAAUUGAAAGUAAAAUAAAAAUGUUUAAAAAAUUUAAAAAUAUACAUAAAUAAAGACUUUUGGGGAUUG
rnacentral:lncRNA from 1 species